AGAGACGACUGGUUUCUGAGACAAAGUGGAGUGAAAAGAUCCCAGCGUCUGUGUCAGAUGCUGUGCUGACUAUUGAUCCCAACUGGUCGACUUUUCAUUCUGGAGACAGAGUGACGUUCAUUUGUGACAUCAAUGAAGGCAAAGACACCGACUGGGAAUAUGAGAUAAAAAAAAAUGGAGAACAAUUUCUUCGCUCCAACCCGUACAAAAGCUUCACAUUUCUACCUAUCCAAAUCGAUCACAGUGGUGAAUACCAGUGUUGUGGACUCAGGAAGAGCUCUGGUGAUACCAAGUGCAGUGAUACUGUCUCUUUAACUGUUACUGACCCCAGUGAAGGUGAGAACUAGUAACCCGAACAACAAAAAGCAGGAGAUUGGAGUCCAGCAGCAACAGAUACUCCACAUUAUUUUACGGUCAGAAACAACACUGGACAAUUCUGCUGCCAUGUUUUCAUUAUAUGUUGUGAUGAUUAUUGUAUUUCUGCAGCUUUAAGAUGUCAAAGAUGAUUUAAUUAUGCUAUAUCUCUUCAAGAAUCAGAUGCGCUCUAAUUUUACAUUUUCGCUCAUGUCAUAAAUAGGAUAGGUCGCACAUUCAUAAAUUGAAAUGUUGUAAG